rnacentral:lncRNA from 1 species
GAUGAUGAAAUUUCUAGAUUUCAAUUUGGCAAAUAAGUUAUUACGUGGGGAGCAAUUUGACUGGAAUUCAAUUCAAAUGGGGCUAUUGUUAUUUACUUAUUUUCGUCUAUUUAUUACAUGGGACUGGAAUACCCCUACGCAUUCAAAUUCUGAUAUCAUGUGCCGUGGUAUAAAUCCAAAUUUUAUAAUAUUUUUACUACAUUUAAG